AUGCACUUUGGCAGCAUACAUACUAAACCUGGAAUGAUACAGAGGAAGUUAGAAUGGCCCCCGUGCAUGUUAAUAGCACAAAUAUUUGAAGUAUUUCAUAUUUUU
ensembl:snRNA U6 U6 spliceosomal RNA